UUUGUCUACGGGACGCAGCAGUAGGGAAUCUUCCACAAUGGGCGAAAGCCUGAUGGAGCAACGCCGCGUGGGUGAAGAAGGUCUUCGGAUCGUAAAACCCUGUUGUUAGAGAAGAAAGUGCGUGAGAGUAACUGUUCACGUUUCGACGGUAUCUAACCAGAAAGCCACGGCUAACUACGUGCCAGCAGCCGCGGUAAUACGUAGGUGGCAAGCGUUAUCCGGAAUGAUUGGGCGUAAAGGGUGCGCAGGCGGAACCAUAAGUCUGAAGUAAAAGCCAUCGGCUCAACCGAUGUAAGCUUUGGAAA
rnacentral:rRNA from 1 species